UACGUAGGGGGCAAGCGUUGUCCGGAAUUAUUGGGCGUAAAGAGCGUGUAGGCGGCUAGAUAGGUCCGUUGUGAAAACUCGAGGCUCAACCUCGAGACGUCGAUGGAAACCAUCUGGCUAGAGUCCGGAAGAGGAGAGUGGAAUUCCUGGUGUAGCGGUGAAAUGCGCAGAUAUCAGGAAGAACACCAAUGGCGAAAGCAGCUCUCUGGGACGGUACUGACGCUGAGACGCGAAAGCGUGGGGAGCGAACAGG
rnacentral:rRNA from 1 species